AAGUUAUCUAUAUAUCGGCAAGCAUAAAUUGACAAUUUAUGAAUCUAUGAAUUUCAUAUAUUUUUCGGUGUUCCACGUUCUUGUCAUUAUCUAUGCUUGUCAUGUUCUUGUCCAUCUUGCCAUCUUGUAUUAAAAACGAUGCUACGUCGCCAUUUUUAAAAUUUUGCAACUAUUUGCUUUUCGAUUGAUGAUAAAUAAGAAUCGAAUAGUGUUCAUUUUAAUGUAACUGAAAAAGCAAGUUGUCUGCCAUAGUUCGUUUCAUUUUGGAGGAUCUAAUUAAUUACGGAACAUUAAAAAAACCCUGGAUAGCAUUAAUUUACAGUGCCUUGGUUGUGUCAGUGUUCAUUCGAUUCAGAAAGUAGCUGUCUUAAAAAGAAGCACAAAAGUGCCGUUUUUCUACUGGGAACGCAUACAGUGUGGCAUUGCUGAAGGAAGGAUUUAUGAUGAAUGAACUGGUAAGUUAACCAUAUCAAUUAAAAAUAUUAAUCCUGGUCCCAGAAACUUCAAUUUCUUAGGCAUUUGUAACUCACUUUUAUCAAACAACUUUUAAACACGUUUUAGAAGUGGUAGAAGCAAAAUGUGGAACUGGCCUUUCCAUCAGUGGAAAAGUUAACUUCUAACUUUAACUCCACAUCUCCACAUUAAAAUAUUACUGAUUUACUUGCUUUAAAAGUUGUAAUUAACCACUUUUUUGCCCGUUUCUAUAGAUUGUCCAAAUGAGAAGAA